rnacentral:rRNA from 1 species
UACGUAGGGGGCGAGCGUUGUCCGAAGUUACUGGGCGUAAAGCGCGCGUAGGCGGGAAAUUAAGUGAGAAGUGAAAGGCUGGGGCUCAACCUCAUGCAGUGCUUCUCAUACUGGUUUUCUUGAGGGCGGUAGAGAAAAGUGGAAUGGCUGGUGUAGCGGUGAAAUGCGCAGAUAUCAGGAGGAACACCGGUGGCGAAGGCGGGUCUCUGGGCCGAUACUGACGCUGAGGAGCGAAAGCGUGGGGAGCGAACAGG